UACAGAGGUCCCGAGCGUUGUUCGGAUUCACUGGGCGUAAAGGGUGCGUAGGUGGCUUGAAAAGUUUGAUGUGAAAGCUCAGGGCUUAACCCUGAAAUGGCAUUGAAUACUGUCGAGCUGGAGGUUUGGAGGGGGGACUGGAAUUCUUGGUGUAGCAGUGAAAUGCGUAGAUAUCAAGAGGAACACCGGUGGCGAAGGCGACCAUCUGGACGGAUACUGACGCUGAGACGCGAAAGCGUGGGGAGCAAACAGG
rnacentral:rRNA from 1 species